rnacentral:rRNA from 1 species
GAUGAACGCUGGCGGCGUGCCUAAUACAUGCAAGUCGAGCGAACAGACGAGGAGCUUGCUCCUCUGACGUUAGCGGCGGACGGGUGAGUAACACGUGGAUAACCUACCUAUAAGACUGGGAUAACUUCGGGAAACCGGAGCUAAUACCGGAUAAUAUAUUGAACCGCAUGGUUCAAUAGUGAAAGACGGUUUUGCUGUCACUUAUAGAUGGAUCCGCGCCGCGUUAGCUAGUUGGUAAGGUAACGGCUUACCAAGGCAACGAUGCGUAGCCGACCUGAGAGGGUGAUCGGCCACACUGGAACCGAGACACGGUCCAGACUCCUACGGGAGGCAGCAGUAGGGAAUCUUCCGCAAUGGGCGAAAGCCUGACGGAGCAACGCCGCGUGAGUGAUGAAGGUCUUCGGAUCGUAAAACUCUGUUAUUAGGGAAGAACAAAUGUGUAAGUAACUAUGCACGUCUUGACGGUACCUAAUCAGAAAGCCACGGCUAACUACGUG